GAUGAACGCUGGCGGCGUGCCUAAUACAUGCAAGUCGAGCGAACGGACGAGAAGCUUGCUUUUCUGAUGUUAGCGGCGGACGGGUGAGUAACACGUGGAUAACCUACCUCUAAGACUGGGAUAACUUCGGGAAACCGGAGCUAAUACCGGAUAAUAUUUUGAACCGCAUGGUUCAAAAGUGAAAGACGGUCUUGCUGUCACUUAUAGGUGGAUCCGCGCUGCAUUGGCUUGUUGGUAAGGUAAAGGCUUACCAAGGGAACGAUGCAUAGCCGACCAGGGCGGGGGGUCGGCCACCCUGGAAGUGGACCGCGUACCAGGCUCCUGCGGGAGGGCGCAGUAGGGAAUGUUACGCAAUGGGCGAAAGCCUGACGGAGCAACGCCGCGUGAGUGAUGAAGGUCUUCGGAUCGUAAAACUCUGUUAUUAGGGAAGAACAUAUGUGUAAGUAACUGUGCACAUCUUGACGGUACCUAAUCAGAAAGCCACGGCUAACUACGUG
rnacentral:rRNA from 1 species